rnacentral:rRNA from 1 species
AGGCGGGUUUGUAAGUCAGUGGUGAAAGACUGUCGCUUAACGAUAGCAUUGCCAUUGAUACUGCAAGUCUUGAGUACACUUGAGGUAGGCGGAAUGUGUAGUGUAGCGGUGAAAUGCUUAGAUAUUACACAGAACACCAAUUGCGAAGGCAGCUUACUAAAUUGUCACUGACGCUGAGGCACGAAAGCGUGGGGAUCAAACAGGAUUAGAUACCCUGGUAGUCCACGCCGUAAACUAUGAUCACUGGAUGUUAGCGAUACACAGCUAGCGUCUGAGUAAAAGCAUUAAGUGAUCCACCUGGGGAGUACGUCGGCAACGAUGAAACUCAAAGGAAUUGACGGGGGCCCGCACAAGCGGAGGAACAUGUGGUUUAAUUCGAUGAUACGCGAGGAACCUUACCCGGGCUCGAACGUGAGAGGAAUAUAGAUGAGAGUUUAUAGCCAGCAAUGGCCGCUUACGAGGUGCUGCAUGGUUGUCGUCAGCUCGUGCCGUGAGGUGUCGGCUUAAGUGCCAUAACGAGCGCAACCCUUAUCAUUAGUUGCCAGCGGGUCAUGCCGGGAACUCUAAUGAAACUGCCAGCGUAAGCUGUGAGGAAGGCGGGGAUGACGUCAAAUCAGCACGGCCCUUACGUCCGGGGCUACACACGUGUUACAAUGGAUAGUACAGAGGGCAGCUACACCGCGAGGUGAUGCUAAUCUCCAAAGCUAUUCUCAGUUCGGAUCGGAGUCUGCAACUCGACUCCGUGAAGCUGGAUUCGCUAGUAAUCGCAUAUCAGCCACGAUGCGGUGAAUACGUUCCCGGGCCUUGUACACACCGCCCGUCAAGCCAUGGGAGCUGGGGGUACCUGAAGUAUGCAACCGCAAGGAGCGUCCUAGGGUAAAACUGGUGACUGGGGCUAAGUCGUAACAAGGUAAC